CGUGUAGGCGGUUUGUUUAGUCUGAUGUGAAAGCCCUGGGCUCAACCCAGGAAGUGCAUUGGAUACUGGCAGACUUGAAUACGGGAGAGGGUAGUGGAAUUCCUAGUGUAGGAGUGAAAUCCGUAGAUAUUAGGAGGAACACCGGUGGCGAAGGCGGCUGCCUGGACCGAUAUUGACGCUGAGACGCGAAAGCGUGGGUAGCAAACA
rnacentral:rRNA from 1 species